rnacentral:tRNA from 1 species
ACGCUCGUAGCUCAGUUGGUAGAGCAUCGGACUCCAAAUCCGAGGGUCGGGGGUUCGAGUCCCUCCGGGCGUGCCA